CGUACGAGUUCUCGUUGAUGAUCGGUGCUUGCACCGAGAUUCAACAUGGAACGAGUGGCGGACGGGUGAGUAACACGUGGGUAACCUGCCCUUAAGUGGGGGAUAACAUUUGGAAACAGAUGCUAAUACCGCAUAGAUCCAAGAACCGCAUGGUUCUUGGCUGAAAGAUGGCGUAAGCUAUCGCUUUUGGAUGGACCCGCGGCGUAUUAGCUAGUUGGUGAGGUAAUGGCUCACCAAGGCGAUGAUACGUAGCCGAACUGAGAGGUUGAUCGGCCACAUUGGGACUGAGACACGGCCCAAACUCCUACGGGAGGCAGCAGUAGGGAAUCUUCCACAAUGGACGCAAGUCUGAUGGAGCAACGCCGCGUGAGUGAAGAAGGCUUUCGGGUCGUAAAACUCUGUUGUUGGAGAAGAAUGGUCGGCAGAGUAACUGUUGCCGGCGUGACGGUAUCCAACCAGAAAGCCACGGCUAACUACGUGCCAGCAGCCGCGGUAAUACGUAGGUGGCAAGCGUUAUCCGGAUUUAUUGGGCGUAAAGCGAGCGCAGGCGGUUUUUUAAGUCUGAUGUGAAAGCCCUCGGCUUAACCGAGGAAGCGCAUCGGAAACUGGGAAACUUGAGUGCAGAAGAGGACAGUGGAACUCCAUGUGUAGCGGUGAAAUGCGUAGAUAUAUGGAAGAACACCAGUGGCGAAGGCGGCUGUCUGGUCUGUAACUGACGCUGAGGCUCGAAAGCAUGGGUAGCGAACAGGAUUAGAUACCCUGGUAGUCCAUGCCGUAAACGAUGAAUGCUAGGUGUUGGAGGGUUUCCGCCCUUCAGUGCCGCAGCUAACGCAUUAAGCAUUCCGCCUGGGGAGUACGACCGCAAG
rnacentral:rRNA from 1 species